rnacentral:pre_miRNA from 1 species
GUGGUGUCAAAACAGGAAGUGUGUGUAAGGGAAGACAAUUAUGUGGAAAACCCACAGAAUCGUUUUCCCUUACAAACACUUCCUGUUUUGACACCACACU